rnacentral:rRNA from 1 species
UACAGAGGUCUCAAGCGUUGUUCGGAUUCAUUGGGCGUAAAGGGUGCGUAGGCGGCGCGGUAAGUCGGGUGUGAAAUCUUGGAGCUUAACUCCGAAACUGCAUUCGAUACUGCCGUGCUUGAGGACUGGAGAGGAGACUGGAAUUUCCGGUGUAGCGGUGAAAUGCGUAGAUAUCGGAAGGAACACCAGUGGCGAAAGCGACUUCCUGGUCCAAUACUGACGUUCAUGUGCGAAAGCGUGGGGAGCAAACAGG